CAACAUCUUUGUUUGUAUGUGGUGCUGAGGAUCGAACCCAGGCCGCACGCAUGCCAGGCGAGCGCGCUACCAUUUGAGCCACAUCCCCAGCCCAUAUUAUAUUGAUAUAUAUUUAAUAUGCAUAAAACUACUUAUUUUAUGCACACAAUUUAAUGAGUCUGACACAGCUACCCAUUUUUGUUUCUAUGUGCAUAUAGGGAUAGAUAUGAUAUUUAUUUGGGAAGAGGUCUAACUGAUGUUGAGAAUGGUUAUAUUUGAUUAUUAAAUUAUGGAAUACUUUUUAAUUUUAAAUAACUUUUGAAUUUCUAUUUUAACAUGUGUCAAUCGUAGAAAAACACUAGUUCAUUCUAAAAGAAAAAUAUAAAUCUGGGGAAAAUAUUUUGAAUCUUUUGUACAGUUUGUAUUUCUUUUGCUAAGUAUUUCUUUUACUAAGCACCUUUGCUUAAUUAUUGAUUAUGACAUUGCCAAAAAUUUCUGAUUUUUAAAGAGUAUACAAUAGUCUUGAUGAACAUGUUAACCUUGCUUUUCUGUUAUAAAUACAAGUUGAAAUUUAAGUGAUAACUAACUAUGUUGUAAUUAUGUAAAUAAAUAAUCAACCAUCAAUGAAAGUACAGAAACACAUUCAACAACAUUAUUGACUGUUGUGGUUUAGAUCUAAGAAUGUCCCUGGAAAACUCAUGGGUUAGACAGGGCAGUAAUGUUCAGAGGUAAAAACCUCAUCAAGUGGAUUAAUUCACUUGGAGUAUUAAUAAUUUGAAUGAAUUACUGGGUAGUUAACUGUAGGCAGGUGAGGUGUGGCCAGAGGAAAUAGAUCAUUGAGUGCAUGAUGAUGGUCUAUUAAAUAUUGUUCCUGGCUUCCCUCUCUCUUUCUUUCUCUCUUUCUUUUCUGACUGCCAUAACCUUACAGCUUUCUGUCUCCACACUCUUUGGCCACGGUUUUCUGCCUCACCUCAGACCAGAACAAUGGGUCAGCUGAUUACACACUGAGGCCUCUGAAACCCUGAACCAAACUAAACUUUUCCUUCUCUGUGUUGUUCUUCUCAAAUAUUUUAGUCACAGCGAUGAAAGGUUGAGUUAGACACUGAACUACUUAGUUGGGUAAACUAUUCAAUUUAUAAGAUGCCUAUGAAUAUAACUAUAUAAUUUAAGACUGCCCAAAGAAAUACUCUGUCCUAAAGAUAUUAUCACAGGUCAAUGUCACCAAUUCUCAAGACAAAGAAGAAGAAUUUUUCCAGAAAAGAAUUGGCAGGUAAAAUACUACUAGUGGUUUUGUCUAAAAACAAUCACCUUUUGAAAAGCAUUUUCAGACUUUUUGUUUUCAUAACAUAGGCCCUGCAGAAUUUAAUGGAAUCUUAGGCCAAGGCACAAACUCUUCUAAAUAGACACCUUCAAUUUUUACAUGAAGUUAAAAAGAAAUGUUUACAACAGAAUUUUUAGUAGGAAAAGAAAUGCUAAAAGCUAUGAUGUUCACCAAUAUGUAAACCUUAUAGGGGCAUGGGGUUAUGGGCUGCUGUUUUAAUUGCUCUGUCUCUAGUAUCAGCAACAGUGAGAGUUUUGAAACUAUCAAACAAAUUUAUCUAUAAAUCUAUAAAAUAAUAAAGAUUAAUAAAUUCUAAUAGUACAGUGUUGAUUUUAUCUUCUCCCUUUUUGCUAACCUGUCCUUUUCCUGUAACAACUGAAGGAAGAUGUAAUAUAGGUCAGAAGACAGGGAAAGCAAAAGAAAUCUGAGAGAGACAGCUGAUACCCCAAAUCUUUUCUCCUUUCUACUCAGUAAAAUUCCACCAUUAUACUACAUUGGAUAUGUAUCUUGAAAGGAUAGAUAAGAGAGUUCCUCAAAUUAGCAUGGAUCAGAUUUAUAAAUGUUAGAUCAAAAGUUUAAGAUUAUGAUUGAGAGAGAAAAUUUGAAAUCCACACUUGGUACCUGUUGGAGUUUAGGCAAACAAAUUGAACUAUAUCCCAGGUUGUGCACCUUAAAAUUAUGGUGAUCCUGUAGAGUUAAGGAUUAGAGGAUAAGAAUUCUAGUAUAAUCCUGGAUCUUGUCAAAACCCAACAAAUGUAAGUCUGUAGUCCAUUAUAUUCUGAAAGUUUUCACAAGGAAUACAAAUCUAUUUAAAAUAUCAAGGUUUAGCACUGAAAACUUGAUAAAACUAAACUGAAGACAUUUUAAAUAUAUUAUUUGGUUUGAGCAUUUAUACUAUUUAAAUAUUUUCCACAUUCUACUUAAUUUUAAUGAUGAAAGUAGUUUUAGUUGAUUUUUUUCUUUGUUCUAUUUCAUUAGCUGAAAAUUGCAAUUCUCAUUUGCCUUUUGCAAUCUUAUGAAAAAUUUGGUUCUCAAAGUAUACUUGAAAAUUGGCAUUGUUCUGCCUUGAAGAAUAUGAGCCUAUUUUCUUUAUUUAAAUGCAUUUUAAAAUAGGUUUUCUAACAAAUUAGAUGCAAGAAAUUGUAUCUGGUUUUUGGCAAUGACUGUCUUUUACUACCUGUGGCGAUAAAAACAUCUCUUCCUAUGGUGAUAAAAGGAUAUUUAACAUUCUAUUGUGUCAAAUUAUCUGUAGUUAAGUUAAAUGGGAAUUUGCAUAGUAGGAAAAAGUAAUGUUCUACAAGUUUUUAAUAAACUAGAUCAUCACAGAAGAAACUAGUUUACUUACUAACAGAUAAUCUGCAAACGUAAAUCUUUAACAGAUGCAUUAGCUCUAACUGCCUGGUGCUAAGAUUUGAGAUUUGAGAUCCAUUCUAGUUUGUUAUAUUAUUAUUAUUUUAUUUUUAAUUUAUCUUUAUUUGUUCUAAUUAGUUAUAUAUGACAGUAGAAUGCACUUUGAAAUAUCAUAUAUAGAUGGAGUAUAAUUUCUAAUUCUGAUUGUACAUGGUGUAGAAUUCCACCAAUCAUAUAAUUACAUAUGUAUAUAAGGUAAAAAUAUCUGAUUCAUUCUAGUAUCCUUCCUACCCCAUAUUUCCUCCUCUCUCUUUAAACCACAAAUUCAAAUUCAUCUGUGUAAUUUAGCACUUGUAUGUCAAUAACAAAGUUACUGUGUUAGUUGCUACAAAAAACAACUUCUAAUCAACUACAAUUAACUCAUAUUCUUUGGGGGGGUGUUAAGAUUUGGAUGUGAGGUGUCCUCCAAAAGCUCAUGUGUGAGACAAUUCAAGAAGGUUUAGACUACAGAUGAUUGGGUUAUGACAGCCUCAACCAAUCAGUGAAUCAAUCUCCUGAAGGGACUACUUGUGUGGUAACUGAAGGUGGAUAGGGUGUGGCUGGAGGAGAUAGUUCCUUGAGGGCGUUCCUUUGGCACAUAUAUUUUGUAUCUGUGAAUGGACUCUUUCUCUAUUUCAUGAUCCUCCUGUGAGCUGCUUGCCUAUGCCACAGGCUUCCACCAUGAUGUUCUGCCUCACCUGAAGCCCUAAAGAAUGGAGCCAGCUGUCUGUGGACUGAGAUCUCAGAAACUGUGAGCCCCAAAUAAAUAUUUCCUCCUGUAAAAUUGCUCUUGUUGGGGCUUUUAGUCACAGCAACAAAAAAGCUGACUAAAACGGUGUGGUGUGUGUGUGUGUGUGUGUGUGUGUGUUUUGUACUGAAGAUUUUAGCCAGGGAUAAAUAAUCACUUAACUAACCUUUUUUAAAUUUUUGAGACAGGGUCUCACUAAGUUUCCCAAGCUGGUCUGGAACUUGAGAUCUUCCUGCCUCAGGCUCCAAAGUCACUGAGAUUAUAGUUGGGCACCAUCACACCUUGCUGAUAUUUAUUUUUAAUGUGAAAUUAUGGAACUGAAUCAGUAACCUAGGAGAAGCAUAAAUGAGGAAAUCUGAGACAACUAUAUGUGACAAUGGCCUUAGGCCUGAGCCCAAGCAACUCCAUUUUAAAAAACUCCAGUUUGAAAACUCCAGUCUCAUCAGACGCACCUAACAGAGCCCUCCAGUAUGGCCUCAGACAAGUUACUUCCCCUCACCUUGAUAAGCAGAGUGAAGCCUCUGGCAGGCUGUCCUCUCCUGAUAAGAGGGAAAGGUGAGAAGAUCAGGGUGAAUACCAUCAGACCAGAUGUUUCUGAUCCCAGGGUAAAUGAUGUCAUGAAGAAAUCCAGUGGUAGCUGAUAAGGAUUGAAAAAAGGGUCAAAAGCCCCAAAUUUAGUAUAAAUAAUAGAGCUGAUGAACAGGGAUUCAGCCAGCCCAAACAAGAGUGCACUGGAGCUGAAGAGCCUGAUGAGGACCUGGACUGACAUCCCAUCGUUGGUCAUCAUUUUCCUGAUCCUCUGUGUGAUCCUCACCACUCUCAAACUCUACCGCAGUGAGAGUGGUAGAGAGCCGCAACUUCUCCCUAGGACCCUUUCCUCAACUGGCUGACCACACCACACCAGGAAAAGCCUGCCUUGGUUCUGGACCUGAUCACGUGGUCUGAGUGAGUGUGCAUCUGCUGGACUUACAGCCUAAAGUUUAAGACUUUUGAACUUAAUAAGCAGAGGAUAAUGUCUGUCAUUGGCCUGUCAUUAUUGUGUUUUGCAGUGCUUAGAAUUAAUCUAGAAUUAUUUGCUGUGAAUUGAUUAUGUCUAUUGCAGUGCUUGGCAUAAAUGAUUGUCAUUUUCUUGAUUAAGAACCUAUAGAGUGAAAUUAUAUUGAGUGAUUUGAGUGAGUAAAGCUUUGGAAAGGGCAGAAGCACGUGGACAUUCUUUAUUUCUCUCCCUUGCCUGCAUAUGUCUCAAUUUUGCCCCCUCAUGACAUUGUAAUUCAAAAAUUAUUUAUAAAGGAAAUACUUUAGGAUAUAUUAUUAAAAUUAAUUUAAGUAAUUACUUGUGUAGAGAGAAGCUUAUCUAAACAUAGCUUGAAUACACUAUAAAAUCAAAGAGAAAACCAAACAUAGCUCUUCAAAGAGUCUUAUUCAAAUGUAUAUUUAAAUAAUAUGAAAUAAGAAAUAGUUUUUAAGUGGAAAACUUCAGAUAAAGAUAUUGGUCAAUCACUAAAUAUAAUUUAUUACCUUCUAAUGCCUAAAAAGCAAGUUUAUUUAUUUAUCUAUUUUUGUUUUACUUGUUUUGUCUCAAUUAUACAAAAUGGUGGGUUUCAUUGUAGCAUGUUUAUAUAUAAAGAUAAACAGUUUGAUUAAUUUCACCCCCAGUGCCCCAUCUUCCCUCCCUUCAUUCAUUCACUGUACCCUAAUUGUCUCCAUUUUACUGUCAUAGAAACUCUUUUAUAUCCCUGCUCCAGUCUCCAUAUGAUACCUUCUUCUCUUGAUCCAACUUUACUUUAUUAAAAUUUGUGGUGUCCAAUUCCAUGUAUGUUUCAGCAAGAAAUCAUUUUGUUCUUUUUUUAAUGGCUGAGUAAAACUCCAUUUUGAAUAUAUAUCCUCUUUUCUUUAUCCAUUUAUCUGUUUACAGACACCUUUGCUGAUUUUAUAAUUUGGCUGUUAUGAGUUUUGCUGUGAUAAAUAAGGGGAUGCAAGUAUCUCUAAAGCAUGCUGUUAGUUCUUUCACUGGAGCAUAUAGUGGGUCUAUUUUUAGAUUUUUAAGGAAAGUUUGAACUGAUUUCCAUUGAAGUUGUAAUAAUUUACAUUCCCACCAACAGUGUGUACUCCUUUUCCCCCCAGGCAUCCUUGCUGAAUUUAUUGUUAUUUUUAUUCUUUAUAAUUGCUAUUCUAACUCAAGGGAGAUGGAAUCUCAGUGUAAUUUUGAUUUGCAUUUCCGUGAAGACUGAAGAUGUAGUCAUUUUUAUUUCUAAUUUUGAGAAGUGUCUCCUCCCUGCCCACUUAUUAAUUGGAUUGUUUGUUAAUAUUGAUCUUUUUCUUUAGUUCUUUAUAUAUUCUGGAAAUUAAUCAUCUGUCCAAAGAGAAGAUAGAAAAUGUGUUUUCUUUUGAAUUUUUUAAAAAAAGUUUUGCUAGUUAAAGGCCUAGUGGAAAAUUGUUUAUCAGUGAAUGGAUCUAAAAUCUGUAGUGAGUUGUUUGUAGAUACAUGUUAAAUUGGUAAAUUUUAAUUUGAUCAUUUGAAUAACAGAUAAAAAUAAGUUUUUCAACCCAACAGUAAAAAACUUGCUCAACAAUAUGUAUAAACCCUCCAUAUACACAGGAUAGUUCAUCACUUAAAGAAUUAACAAAGUUAACACACCUCAGCUUUUAAGUAAAAUUCUUAGUUUAAACAUUUCGGUAUGUAUUAAAUAGUUCACUACAGACUUUAGAUGUACUCCCUGAUAAAACAGCUUUUUAUAAGAAAUCUUUAAUCUGCACAGUAAGAAACACCUUUAAGUAAGUGCAUUUAAAACUAAUUCAUAUAUUAUACAUAGCAGUUUAUGAAAUAAUUUAAAUCACUGAACCGAAACAGGUAAUAGUCCAUCUUCUUGGUUGCAUCUUUUCCAUGUGUCUCCAAAUACUCACCUUGAACAUUAGUGUCACACAUUGAAAUAAUGGAUCAAAAUAAUUCUUUCAAAAUCACUCUUUAAAGAAAUAUGUCUUUUGAAUUAUUUAUUGGUUUCUUUGCCUAAGUUUUAGCUGACAAUAUAUUUGCUUUUUUCAUCACUGAUAGUAGUUCCUUUGUGCUUUUACUUGCAUUAUGAUUUGAACACAAAUAUCCUUAGAAUAGUUUUCCUCUGAACUAUUCUUUGAUGACUUAUUUCAGUAAUACUGUGUCUUCCAUUUUUACAGGAUUCAAGAGAGCUCUUAGCCAUUUUAUUUUUGACAAAUUCAUUAAAUUAUGCUGAAAAAAGGCAGAACAUUGAUAUUUGCAAUUCAUAGAUUUUUAGAGAGAUGUUACCUUGCAGAUAUAAAGGGGUUUUCCAGCCAGUGCUGAUUAAUUAUUUUUCUACAUAAACCUUAAAAUCAACUAGAAAAAUUUCAGAAGAAGAACAAAAUAACUCUGUUGAUACAUUUAUUAGAUCUGUAUUGCAUUCACAAAUUGACUUAUGGAUAAUUGAAAUCUUUUUGAUGUUAAAUCUACAUAUCUAAAACCAUUGAAAGUAGUUUCAUUUUCCAAUGUCCUUUUGAUUCCUACAGAAUUUUACUUCUAUAAAUUGUAUAGCUUUCUUGUUAAGUUUCUUCUUCAGUAUUUUAUUUUCUUUUUUAAAUGGAAAAUUCUCUUUCAAUAAUUAUUUUUGUAUAUAAAGAAUGUUGUUUUAUAUGAGUUACUUUUAUGACUAGCCUAACCUACAAUUCGAGUUUCUCUAGUAUGCUUAUUUUUUCUAAUUAUUAUGACUAAUAUCACAAAAAUAUGUAAAGUAGGCAUAGAGAUAAUGAAAAAUUUUGUCUAGCCUUGGAUUUAAAGCAAUGUCCCCUGUUCUUCCCCACCUAGUAAAUUGUUGAGUUUUAAGUCAAAAUAAACUUUCUUUAUGUAAAAAAAAAUGGUUUUCUAUUUUAAUUUUGUGUAAUCAUUUUGAAAAUCCAAAACAAUGUUGAAUUUUUUCCAAUUUUGUCAAAUGGAUAUAAUCAUAUGGAAUUUACUUUUUUAUAUAAAGUGGUGAAUUUUGUAACUCUGCUUCUUUACAUUGCAUAGUAUUAGUGUUUCUAAAAUAAAGCCAGUGGGUUGAUGUUUUGUUGUCUUCAAAAUAUUAGAGUUCUUGAUCUUCUCCCUUAGUUCAUAGAUUUCUUCUUCAGCAACAUUCAUUCUGCAAUUCAACUCAUUUUUUUUAAUCAACUAUAUUAUUUUUCAGGUCCAAAAAUUUCAGGCAUUAUGUUCAAUGACAUAUGUUUCUUGAUUAUGGUUCCUAUAUUACCCACAAUUUAUCUUGUCUGGUCUUAUAAAUCUCCUUGUUCUGCUAAUGAUUGUCCAUUAUAAUUUAUUGUCUUUCUCAUACAGUGGCUGUGCUAAAAUCCCUUUUAAUAUUUUUUCUCAUAUCUCACUUUCUCUUGUAGCAUUGGCCUUGUUAUCCAGGUAAAGUGAAUCUUUGCAGAGACACAAAUGUCCUGUUAUAGACUGCACAGUUUGGAGAACAGAUGAGAGGUGUUUCUCAGGCUGAGGACUCAAGAACUUCAUUCUCCAUGGAGUAAUCAUUGUCUCUUGUAAUUCAAGUAAUUCACUUGCUACCUAAGCUGGAUUGUUCUAAACUCAUCCUGAUUUUAAUUCACUACUCUUUUCCA